GAUGAACGCUGGCGGCGUGCCUAAUACAUGCAAGUAGAACGCUGAAGGAGGAGCUUGCUCUUCUGGAUGAGUUGCGAACGGGUGAGUAACGCGUAGGUAACCUGCCUGGUAGCGGGGGAUAACUAUUGGAAACGAUAGCUAAUACCGCAUGACAACAGUUAUUGCAUGAUAACUGUUUAAAAGGGGCAACUGCUCCACUACCAGAUGGACCUGCGUUGUAUUAGCUAGUUGGUGAGGUAACGGCUCACCAAGGCGACGAUACAUAGCCGACCUGAGAGGGUGAUCGGCCAAACUGGGACUGAGACACGGCCCAGACUCCUAAGGGAGGCAGCAGUAGGGAAUCUUCGGCAAUGGACGGAAGUCUGACCGAGCAACGCCGCGUGAGUGAAGAAGGUUUUCGGAUCGUAAAGCUCUGUUGCAAGAGAAGAACGAGUGUGAGAGUGGAAAGUUCACACUGUGACGGUAUCUUACCAGAAAGGGACGGCUAACUACGUG
rnacentral:rRNA from 1 species